UACGAAGGGUGCGAGCGUUGUUCGGAAUUAUUGGGCGUAAAGCGCACGUAGGCGGCUGGGUAAGUCUGUCUGUGAAAGCCCGGGGCUCAACCCCGUGGAUUGCAGGGGAUACUGCUCGGCUGGAGACAAGCAGAGGUUGGUAGAAUUCCGGGUGUAGCGGUGGAAUGCGUAGAGAUCCGGAGGAAUACCAGAGGCGAAGGCGGCCAACUGGGCUUGUUCUGACGCUGAGGUGCGAAAGCGUGGGGAGCGAACAGG
rnacentral:ncRNA from 2 species